UACGAAGGGGGCUAGCGUUGCUCGGAAUCAUUGGGCGUAAAGAGCUCGUAGGCGGUUCAGUAAGUCGGGUGUGAAAUCUCCGUGCUCAACACGGAGCGGCCACCUGAUACUGCUGUGACUCGAGUCCGGUAGGGGAGUGUGGAAUUCCCGGUGUAGCGGUGAAAUGCGCAGAUAUCGGGAGGAACACCAGUAGCGAAGGCGGCACUCUGGGCCGUGACUGACGCUGAGGCACGAAAGCGUGGGGAGCAAACAGG
rnacentral:rRNA from 1 species